AAUUGCGAUGUACAUCUCUUGUGACCCUUACGGGGAGCUCUAGGGUUUCUCCAGUAUAGGGUUUUACUCUUUCCUCUCCUUAUAAUCUAUCAAACUUUUUUAGGGUUUUUUUCUUCUAAUAAGCGCCGCCCUUAAGAUCGCCUUCCAUAUAAAAUGGAAGCGUUUUGAGUCAUAGCUGCGCAAUAUUGAACUUUCUUUUAGGAGAUUUUCAAAAGGGUUCUCCUAUUGAAUUUCUCUUUAUACUCCCACCUGAAUUUUCUUCAUGAGGCAUUUUUUUCUUUGGAUCUGUUUGCUUUUCCUGUUUUUUAAACUGCUAGGUAUGUAAUAGUGUUAAAACCUUUUCUUAUCUAUGCUUGUUUCAAUCAAUGGGAGCUACAGAUCCUCUGAUAUUCAUGUGAAUGGUUCAUUAUUAGGCGGGAAACAAUUAAACCCUUCUUUAUUUUUUGUUCAUCGUUACUUUUUUGAGUUGGGUUGAUUUUUGUUUAGCUCAAUUGGGCUAAAAGAUUCAUGAAGUUGGCAAAGAUGAUGAAUCAAUUAGAUGUGUGAAUGGAGCUUAAUCUAUAUUGAACUCAACUUUUUGAGGCAUAUUUAAUCGUCUGAUUUGCUUGUGUUUUAGAAAUUACUUGUGUCGCAAAUAUGUAAUUUGGCGAUUGGAGUUUUUGGAGGUCGUUGAUGAUAAAUUCGAAGGCUUGUUUCUCAAAACAUUCGCAGUGGCCGCCUAAGUGCUUUCGCCUUCGCCAGGCUUGAGAGCGCAUGCUGCUUUUAUCCUUCCUUGGAUGUCUGAGAUCUCAAUUCAAUCUUAUUAUAGUGCCAUAUCGGUUAUAUGAUUGAAGGAAAUAUUUUCUCAAAAUAUUUUUAUAUUCUUUAAAUCUCAGUUGAUGAUGACAAAUCCGAAGGCUUGUUUCUCAAAACAUUCGCAGUGGCCGCCUAAGAGCUUUCGCCUUUGCGAGGCUUGAGAGCUUAUGCUGCUUUGUCCUUCCUUGGAUGUCUGAAACUCUAAUCCACUUAUUGCAUUUAACUCAAUAGUUUUUGUUUAUAAGGGCACUUGUAAUUUGCAGCAUACAUUUGGUGACAUCGAUUGGGAUAUAUAAAUCAAAGGAGUUGACUUUUGGAGCUAGUUCUUCUCUUAUCCCUGGAUGCUUGAAGCAGUUAUCUUCUGUACACUUAAUGUUGUGUUGUGACCGGGAUCCUAUUAUGGAAGAGGUUCAACUUGUAAUGAUAGCGUCUAUGAUAUUUGUAAAGGAUGGUUUCCUCUUGUCCGCCAAGUAUUGUAUUCUCCAUUUUACAAUUGUCUUUUCUACUAUUGUGGCCGUGGUUGAACAGGGCUUUGUAAUCCCGAGACCUUGGCAUGAUGGUUCAAUAAAUGUGGCAGUGUAUUCUUUGUCAAGAA